rnacentral:rRNA from 1 species
UACGGAGGGGGCUAGCGUUGUUCGGAAUUACUGGGCGUAAAGCGCACGUAGGCGGCUUUGUAAGUUAGAGGUGAAAGACCGGGGCUCAACUCCGGAAUUGCCUUUAAGACUGCAUCGCUAGAAUUGUGGAGAGGUAAGUGGAAUUCCGAGUGUAGAGGUGAAAUUCGUAGAUAUUCGGAAGAACACCAGUGGCGAAGGCGACUUACUGGACACAUAUUGACGCUGAGGUGCGAAAGCGUGGGGAGCAAACAGG